UAGAUGUCCUCCAAUUUUUCUUAGUUUCAGUCUCUUUUCAGAUCCUUUCUUGCCGAAAUUGAUUGAAUCGAAGAAAUCUCUCUUUUUAUCAUAUUCCUUGUAUAAGAUUUGUGGAUUUGGAAAAGUUUUAAUAUUAGUUGCAGUGUUACAAAUCCUAGAUUCGGAGGAAAUUGGACUUUUGGGUGAUGGCAGAUUUGAUGGUUAUUGAUGUGUUACGGAUUGAGCAGGGUCUGAUGGUGAAGAAAAAAUUGAAAAGAAAGAUGGUUUCUUUAGAAAACGUUAGUGUACAAGAUAGGGAAAGUAAUAUUAAUGGGUUAAGGGAAGAAAUUGAGAGUUUGUAUAGGUAUAUUAAGAAGGGAUUAUUGGUAGAAAAUUUUGAAUUUUGAUAAGAGCGAUGUUUGUGGGGGAUUAUGAGAAAUUGAAGAAUACAAAUGGGAUUGGUAAUGUUUUUACACUAUACGUUCCAGGGAGACAGUGGUAUGAAUUGACUCAGGUGUCUUAGGAGCAUAGGCAACCGUGAAACAAAUUCAAUUGAUAAUAAUUCAAUUGACAAUACUCUGCAAGUUACAUAUGGCGCUUAGGAACCGACCUCGGAAUGUUUCUACAAGAAGCUCUUCAGGAACCUUGACUACAACUGGAAACUCGGCUACAACAGGAAAUUUGGC